AGUGUAAGCCCAAGGCGCCUGAAGGCGAGG
rnacentral:piRNA from 1 species